UUCACACCAGUUUAUUUGAAAUAAAACAUAACACAGGUGCAGGAUUUGAUCGAUAGCGUCAGGUCCACGGCGCUGACCGACAGAUGAUGACGGGGCUCCGUGCAUGGGAUUUGGCUUCAGACCAAAGCCUUGAAAUAGAGGACUACACCGAAUGUCCUGCAUCUAGUCCCUCAAUUCAUACAAAGCUGGAAAGAAAGCAGCUCAGAUCUCGGCAUUCAUCUUCAGCAUGUUCAAUAAUGAUAUGAAAUAAGCAACAGCACCACAAAAAGAAAAGCCCCAUGAAGUCAAGCCAACCGGGGUAGAUGGCCAUCCCGCCAACCAAUGCUCUUUGGACUACACCGGCAGCAGUGACCGGUCUUGUUACCAUCGAAUACCAAUGUGCCAAGUUAUCCAGUCCACAGAGGUCCCCCACUCCUCCAGUCUUUUUACACACUCAAAAACACCAUCUCAGAAAGCUUUACGUGGAUAAUUUUGUGUGAAACUGUUUCACGUUCCCCUCUAAAAAACAAAAAAAAGACUUUCAACCACCGAAGGCAUCAAAAAAAGUAAAGAAAACUUUCACAAAUUGGAAAUAACUUGUAAUGUUUUCCCUGUAACCUACAAUCACCAUCUAAAAGUGUGCAAGCGAAGUCGAGACCAAUUCUUCCGACCUCCAAAGUUUCCUCCCCGUUCAUCGUAGAACAACUGUGCAUUAUCUUCAUGGCGGCCACCACCAAGUCCUCCUUGCUUCUCUUCUUGGUGACAAAUUAUUAUUAUUUUUUUUUAAAAGGUGCAAGUCAACUUUUUGUUCCAGGUUGAACUGAAAUAUUUGCUAGAUCACGACUUGUGCACCUUGUGGAUUUGUGACCUGAAAUGACGAUACAGGUUCGGUGAUCAUUGCGUCAGUCUCAUAGUUUCACGUUCUUUCUCCAUUAUCUCUUCUUACGUUGCACCGCCCCCUACUCUUUCUACUGUAUCUUUCUUCAGGGCAGAAAGGAAGAUCUAGUCAACCAUAGUCAUGGUAAAGCUUUCCAUCCAAUUUAGGUUCGUUAGGCCAACUCUUCCAAUCCCCACCUACUCAUGCACACUUGGUUUUGUGGAGGGGGGGGACAAAAGGACUGGGAAUUUUGGGAUUUCAACACCUGCCAUCGGGGGAGGGUUGGGGAGGCCCUUAACUACAUGAGAUGUUUAGAUUGUCCCAGUGUUUUCAGUAGGAUCGGUUGACCUUAAAGGGGUACUCUGCCCACAGACAUCUUUGGAUAGGGGAUAAGAUGUCUGAUCACGGGGUUCCCGCCACUGGGAUCUCUGUAGACAAGAAUGAAGGGGGGGGCACAACGUCUCUGAAUAUACUGUUUACUAAAUAUACUGUUUAGAAUGCCUGGUGCGGCACGGGGAUGGCAGGGGGUCCAAGCGGCAGGACCGCUGCGAUCAGACAUCUCAUCUAGGGGAUAAGAUGUCCAUGAACGGAGUACCCCUUCAAUCUAUUGAAGGGAUAAUCUAAUAGUUUACGGCUCCAGGCAGGUCACAAGACCACCAGCGGUAACCAGUAUUCGUUUUUGUUCUGAUUUAAUUUACAAGUAAACAAGAAAUAAUAAAUAAGUCAUUUCCAUUUCUCAUUUCAACACCGAAGAGAAAAAAAAACAAAAAAACAUGGGAUCGAGGACCUUCUCAUUGCACGGUGAUGAUGUUCUGGCCAAGUUCGUGCCGUGACUUUUCCAGAAUUUAAAAAAAAAUGAAAAUUCAUGAAAAAUUUCCAACAAAUAAAGAUUCAUUCAGUCAUUGGGAUAGGAGGGUCCGUCGGCCGCCAUCAAGACGUGUGAGGUCAAGAGGAGGGGCGGCUCAACACCCACCACCUACCGAGAAGGUAUGGACCAAUGCUGGUUCCUUGCUGCCAUUUAGUGCAUCUGACUGGAUAUGUGACAAUUAUCGUGGUAUCGCCCAGACAGAAGGUCUCGUUCUUUUUUUAACAAAAAUGUUCACUUAUGUUGAAACUCGAGAAAAGAAAUGAAAAAGUGCAUGAAAAAAAUUAAUGUUUUUGCUUUUUAAAUAAAAUUAUAGACAUCUAGACCUGUAAGUGCCGCCAGGCACUUACCUGCAUAUAACGUUGUAGUCUGAAAUUAAAUUAUAUGAUACAAAAGGUUGAGAGACUGACAAAAACAUAAAAAGGCGGGAAAGGGAAAUACGGGAGGCAAAUGGCGUAUUGAGGAGGGGCUCCACAGCCUUAUAGUAAGACGGGUACAAUGUGAUGAUAAACCAGGGGGCUCGGAAGGUUUUCAUCUAAACAUUGGAACUUACAUAUAAAGAUAAAAGAUUCCUUAGUGACUAAAGUUCUACACCCUAUUGGGGUCCCAUUUAAGAGAGCACAGAGUCCAGAAUCACCAGUAAGGGGGGCUUGUCUGGCACCAUAUAUUUUUUAAUAAUUGCGGCAUCUAAUAGUCCACGCUUUUCCUUCUGUGCCAUGUAGAGGACACCCACAUGAGACGUGUAUACCCUUAUACCAGGAAACUUGAUCAAUGGGCACCCACAAAAUGGUGCCCCCCCCCCCCAAUUGCCCUUACAACAUAUGUGUUCUCAUCUAUGGUACAGGUGUCCUAAUGUACAAGUGUUCUAGUAUACAGAUGUAUGAAUGUCCUAGUGUGAAGGUGUUUUCACACAUGGGUGUCAGGGUGUACAGGUGUCCUGGACGGGUGUUCCACUGUACAGAUGAUCACAUGAACGAGUGUCCUGGUGUUCUCAUGUAUAGGUAUCCUGGUGUAUAGGUGUUCUCAUGUAUGGGGGUCCUGGUGUACAGGUGUUCUCAUGUAUGGGGGUCCUGGUGUACAGGUGUUCUCAUGUAUGGGGGUCCUGGUGUAUGGGUGUUCUCAUGUAUAGGUGUCCUGGUGUUCUCAUGUAUGGGUGUCCUGGUGUACAGGUGUUCUCAUGUACGGGUGUCCUGGUGUUCUCAUGUACGGGUGUCCUGGUGUUCUCAUGUACGGGUGUCCUGGUGUUCUCAUGUACGGGUGUCCUGGUGUUCUCAUGUACGGGUGUCCUGGUGUUCUCAUGUACGGGUGUCCUGGUGUUCUCAUGUACGGGUGUCCAGGUGUUCUCAUGUACGGGUGUGUUCUGGUGUUCUUAAACCCGGGUGACCUGGUGUACAGGUGUUCUCAUGUACAGGUGUCCUGGUGUUCUCAUGUAUGGGUGUCCUGGUGUUCUCAUGUACAGGUGUUCUCAUGUAUGGGUGUUCUUGUGUACAGGCGUUCUCAUGUAUGGGUGUCCUCGUGUACAGGUGUUCUCAUGUAUCGGUGUCCUGGUGUACAGAUGUUCUCAUGUACAGGUGUCCUGGUGUUCUCAUGUACAGGUGUCCUUGUGUUCUCAUGUACGGGUGUCCUGGUGUUCUCAUGUACAGGUGUUCUCAUGUAUGGGUGUUCUUGUGUACAGGCGUUCUCAUGUACGGGUGUCCUGGUGUACAGGUGUUCUCAUGUAUGGGGGUCCUGGUGUACAGGUGUUCUCAUGUAUGGGGGUCCUGGUGUACAGGUGUUCUCAUGUACGGGUGUCCUUGUGUAAAGGUGUUCUCAUGUAUGGGAGGUCUUGGUGUACAGGUGUUCUCAUGUAUGAGGGUCCUGGUGUACAGGAGUUCUCAUGUAUGGGUGUCCUGGUGUACAGGUGUUCUCAUGUAUGGGGGUCCUGGUGUACAGGUGUUCUCAUGUAUGGUUGUCCUGGUGUACAGGUGUUCUCAUGUAUAGGUGUCCUGGUGUUCUCAUGUAUGGGUGUCCUGGUGUACAGGUGUUCUCAUGUAUGGUUGUCCUGGUGUACAGGUGUUCUCAUGUAUGGUUGUCCUGGUGUACAGGUGUUCUCAUGUAUGGUUGUCCUGGUGUACAGGUGUUCUCAUGUACGGGUGUCCUGGUGUACAGGUGUUUUCAUGUAUGGUUGUCCUGGUGUACAGGUGUUCUCAUGUAUGGGGGUCCUGGUGUACAGGUGUUCUCAUGUAUGGUUGUCCUGGUGUACAGGUGUUCUCAUGUAUGGUUGUCCUGGUGUACAGGAGUUCCAUACCUAGUAUAAGCUGUGAGAUGAAGGAAGUGAAGGGUCUGACCAUGACUGAUAACCAUGAAGCAAGUACUGGUGCUAGGCAGGAAAGGUACCAGGUUCUAUAGCGCAAUCCACCAUUCAGGCAACUUCUUGGGAUAAAAG